UGAGGAGGGGGCGGGGAGGGAGAGCCCAGGAGGCAGGUUCUGGACAGAAGGGAUGGGGGUGGGGGGAGGUGGAGAGGACGCGGACAAAGGAGGCGGCCGGCAGCCCAGCUGUUUUGAAAAAUGCUUCCUGUUUCUUUAAAGGCGCUCGCGGCUCGGGCGGCCGGGGCUGGGGAGGAGGCGGCGGCGGGAGCUGCCUCCUCUCCGGGCGGCGGCGCUGACUGAUCUCGCGAACUGGGCUUCUGUGUAAACUGAGGCUAAACAAACACAGAUGGAGCGCAGCGGGCGUUCUCCAGAAAUGCUGGCAAGGCGGCAGCGACUUCAGAUGACACUCUGAGCGCUCCGAGAACGGACAGCCCGGCGGCUUCGCGGAGCCGGCAGCGCAGCUGCCCCGGGCGAGGGGGAGAAAGGGAGGGAGGAGGGCGGGCGCGAGAAGGGGGAGAGCCCGAGACUCCCAGGCGCUGAGCGCCGCGGCCGCCCGGGCAGAGCCAGCGCGCAGCGUGCAGAGCGAGCGCGGCGGGCGAGCGGCCCGGGCAGCCCCACGCCCCUGCCUCGCGCGCUGCCCGCGCCAUGAAGCACAUCCCGGUUCUCGAGGACGGGCCGUGGAAGACCGUGUGCGUGAAGGAGCUGAACGGCCUCAAGAAGCUCAAGCGGAAAGGCAAGGAGCCGGCGCGGCGCGCGAACGGCUAUAAAACUUUCCGAUUGGACUUGGAAGCGCCCGAGCACGGCUCCACCGCCACCAACGGGCUGCGCGACAGGACCCAGAGGCUGCAGCCGGUCGCGGCCCCAGUGUCAGCCCCGGUGGGGCCGGCUGUUCCCUCAAGUGGGGGCGCGGACCUGGCCGGGGAGCGCCGGGGCGUCCGGGCGCCGGAGGUCUCCGACGCGCGGAAACGCGGCUUCGCCCUGGGCGCAGUGGGGCCGGGACUCCCCACGCCGCCGCCACCGCCGCCGCCGCCUCCGGCGCCCCAGGGCCAAGUACCCGGAGGUCCCGAGGCGCAGCCUUUCCGGGAGACCGGCCUUCGUCCCCGAAUCUUGCUGUGCGCACCGCCUGCACGCCCCACGCCGUCGGCGCCCCCUGUGCCCCCGGAGUCUUCCGUGCGCCCUGCGCCCCCCACGCGCCCCGGGGAAAGUUCUUACUCGUCAAUUUCACACGUAAUUUACAAUAACCACCCGGAUUCCUCCGCGUCGCCUAGGAAACGGCCGGGCGAAGCGACCACCGCUGCCUCGGAGAUCAAAGCCCUGCAGCAGACCCGGAGGCUCCUAGCUAACGCCAGGGAGCGGACGCGAGUGCACACGAUCAGUGCAGCCUUCGAGGCGCUCAGGAAGCAGGUGCCGUGUUACUCCUACGGGCAGAAGCUGUCCAAACUGGCCAUCCUGCGGAUCGCCUGUAACUACAUCCUGUCGCUGGCGCGGCUGGCUGACCUCGACUACAGUGCCGACCACAGCAACCUCAGCUUCUCCGAGUGUGUGCAGCGCUGCACCCGCACCCUGCAGGCCGAGGGACGGGCCAAGAAGCGCAAGGCCCGGGGCUACAUCAGCAAACAAAACAGGCCAUGUCCCUGUCCUCGUGGAGCUGAUGUUCCAGCCACAAGUGAAUGGACAGAGCAAAAGACGAUUUCUAAUGUGAUAAACUCAACCACUUUGCCACACUGACCAAAUCCCCUCCAUCGAACUCAGCACGUCAGACCCGUGGAAAGGGACCUGAGAGGCCAUCUUGUCUAGUCAUGUUCAAAGUUUAUUUUCACAGCAGACCCUGUUAAAGGGUAUCUUCUAUGGAGUGACUGGCCCCAGGCUAGACCAAGGACGCUGCCGUGGGCCCUCUUUCUGGUCAAGCCUGAGGAGAAGGUGAGCUCUCCAGAUCCAGCCUCGUCUUCUCCAAGAUGCCGCCAGAUGUUCAGACCACUGCCUCUCAGGGUGGGGCAGGGGCACACCUGCCUCCCUCUCACCCUCCUGUCUGCCCUCAGCCACUCUGGUGACUCCGCACUUUGCCCUCUGCCUGGUGGGGAGGGGAGAGAAAGCCUCCCCCUUGCCCAGGGCUGCAGAAAUUCAUUGCCAAAGAUUCCACAGAGACACUAAACAAAUUGUGGUGAUGACACCCCACAGUGAAAAGCCACACCAUUGCUCUAUGACUUUUGCUCCUCCUAUUGCCAAAGCCAUCCCAAGCCAAAGACGAGUCAGCGAUCCCACUGGAAACUCAUGGAAGGGAUGGACAUCUGGUGACUAUUGAAAGUGCUCGACCCUCUGACCUGGAACUCUCUUUCUACACUGGGCCCUGAGCAGGCUGGGUACAAGAGAAGCCUUCUGGGGGCUGUGAGAGGGGGUUGGGGGGUGCUUGUAUGGAGUGGGUUAUGAGAUCCUGGCCCUCUUCUUGCCCUCCCACUGGCUGCCCAGGCUACUGACCCUGAUUCUCAUUGUUCCCUGGGUCCAGGCUCCUUGGGCCCUGAGCAUCAUGGCAAGGGGGGGGGGGGAAGAAGCAAUAUUGACCACCCUGUACCCCGCCCUAGGGACUUGCCCCACCAGGGUCACCUAAAGGGUCUUUGUUCUCCAGCCAGCCCAGCCAGCCACUCCUUGCCUGUGGCCCGCCCUCCUGGCUGGGAAAACAAGAUGGUGCCCUGCAUGAAGGCCAGUAGUCUGUUCCCGGUUAUGCAGGGGGGCAGAGGAGAAAGGGACCAGGGAACGGGCCAGUAAGUUGGGGCGGGGGGGCAUGUUCAAAGCCAAGGCCUGUUCCUUCCUUGUGCUCAAAAGGCCAAAGCUAUUCACAUCUGUGCUCAACCAUCUGCUUCAAAUUGAAGUAAAAGCCCCUACAUGUAAAGAAAACACUUGCUCGUGUUGAAUGGACUCUGUGGGUGACCAGGACUUUGGCUGGUCAGUUGAGGGGCAGUUGUGGGGAAGGGGAGAGGCUGGUCUUGGCCUAGAGGUUGAGAACCCUCCAGGAAGUGGGCAGUGUGUUAGUGUGUGUGUCUGUGUGUGUCAGGGGGUAGGGGGCCCUCACCAUGCCUCAGCCUGGGCUAGUGACCAGGAGGCCUGGUCAGAAACGUGAGGUGCUCUUUCCACUUCAGACCUCACUCACUUCUUUCAGCCCAGGGACGCCCUCUCUUAUCUGCUCCUCAGGCUCCCGGGCUGGGGCCAGAGUGUCUGCAGGCCCAGCUGGCCGACAGGAGCCUCAUCCCCUUGCACGAGUGUUGCCCAGGCACAGCCCUUUGCCAAGGACAAGGUUGUUGGGCUGGCCUGGAUCUGGAACAGAAGCAGGGGACCCAGAUGUCUCAGAGCACUUCUCAGAGCAAAGGUGCCCUGGAAGCCAGAUAGACAGAGUGGGCUUGGGAUGGGGGUGACAAGGGGACGCUGAAGAAAGGUUGGUCACCUGGGGGCAUCUGGGUGGCUCAGUUGGUGAAGCAGCCGGCUCUUGAUUUCGGGGUCAUGAUCCCAGGACCCUGGAUUUGAGUACCAAGUUGGGCUCCAUGCUUAGCGGGAGUCUGCUUGAG